rnacentral:rRNA from 1 species
GACGAACGCUGGCGGCGUGCUUAACACAUGCAAGUCGAACGGAAAGGCCCUGCUUUUGUGGGGUGCUCGAGUGGCGAACGGGUGAGUAACACGUGAGUAACCUGCCCUUGACUUUGGGAUAACUUCAGGAAACUGGGGCUAAUACCGGAUAGGAGCUCCUGCUGCAUGGUGGGGGUUGGAAAGUUUCGGCGGUUGGGGAUGGACUCGCGGCUUAUCAUCUUGUUGGUGGGGUAGUGGCUUACCAAGUCUUUGACGGGUAGCCGGCCUGAGAGGGUGACCGGCCACAUUGGGACUGAGAUACGGCCCAGACUCCUACGGGAGGCAGCAGUGGGGAAUAUUGCACAAUGGGCGGAAGCCUGAUGCAGCAACGCCGCGUGCGGGAUGACGGCCUUCGGGUUGUAAACCGCUUUCGCCUGUGACGAAGCGUGAGUGACGGUAAUGGGUAAAGAAGCACCGGCUAACUACGUG